GUAUGAUAUGGUGAUGUAAGCUGUAUGAUAUAGUGAAGUAAGCUGUAUAUGGUGAAGUAAGCUGUAUGAUAUGGUGAAGUAAGCUGUAUAUGGUGAAGUAAGUUGUAUGAUAUGGUAAAGUAAGAUGUAUGUUACAGUGAAGUAAGCUGUAUGAUAUAGUGAAGUAAGCUGUAUGAUAUGGUGAAGUAAGCUGUAUGUUAUGUUGAAGUAAGCUGUAUGAUAUGGUGAAGUAAGCUGUAUGUUACAGUGAAGUAAGCUGUAUGUUACGGUGAAGUAAGCUGUAUGAUAUGGUGAUGUAAGCUGUAUGAUAUGGUGAAGUAAGCUGUAUGUUACAGUGAAGUAAGCUGUAUGUUACGGUGAAGUAAGCUGUAUGAUAUGGUGAAGUAAGCUGUAUGAUAUAGUGAAGUAAGCUGUAUGUUAUGUUGAAGUAAGCUGUAUGAUAUGGUGAAGUAAGCUGUAUGAUAUAGUGAUGUAAGCUGUAUGAUAUGGUGAAGUAAGCUGUAUGUUAUGGUGAAGUAAGCUGUAUGUUACAGUGAAGUAAGCUGUAUGAUAUGGUGAUGUAAGCUGUAUGAUAUGGUGAAGUAAGCUUUAUGAUAUGGUGAAGUAAGCUGUAUAUGGUGAAGUAAGUUGUAUGAUAUGGUGAAGUAAGCUGUGGUGAAGUAAGCUGUAUGAUAUGAUGAAGUAAGCUGUAUGAUAUGAUGAAGUAAGCUGUGGUAAAGUAAGCUGUAUGAUAUGGUGAAGUAAACUGUAUGAUAUGGUGAAGUAAACUGCGGUAAAGUAAGCUGUAUGAUACGGUGAAGUAAGCUGUAUGAUAUGAUGAAGUAAGUUGUGGUGAAGUAAGCUAUAUGAUGUGGUGAAGUAAGCUGUGGUGAAGUAAGCUGUAUGAUAUGGUGAAGUAAGCUGUGGUGAAGUAAGCUGUAUGAUAUGGUAGCUGUGGUGAAGUAAGCUGUAUGAUAUGAUGAAGUAAGCUGUGGUGAAGUAAGCUGUAUGAUAUGGUGAAGUAAGCUGUAUGAUAUGGUAAAGUAAGAUGUAUGUCACGGUGAAGUAAGCUGUAUGAUGUGGUGAUGUAAGCUGUAUGAUAUGGUGAAGUAAGCUGUAUAUGGUGAAGUAAGUUGUAUGAUAUGGUGAAGUAAGCUGUAUAUGGUGAAGUAAGUUGUAUGAUAUGGUGAAGUAAGCUGUGGUGAAGUAAGCUGUAUGAUAUGAUGAAGUAAGCUGUAUGAUAUGAUGAAGUAAGCUGUAUAUGGUGAAGUAAGCUGUAUGAUAUGGUAGCUGUGGUGAAGUAAGCUGUAUGAUAUGAUGAAGUAAGCUCUGUAUAUGGUGAAGUAAGUUGUAUGAUAUGGUGAAGUAAGCUGUGGUGAAGUAAGCUGUAUGAUAUGAUGAAGUAAGCUGUAUGAUAUGGUGAAGUAAGCUGUGGUGAAGUAAGCUGUAUGAUAUGAUGAAGUAAGCUGUGGUGAAGUAAGCUGUAUGAUAUGGUGAAGUAAUCUGUAUGAUAUGGUGAAGUAAGCUGUAUGAUAUGGUGAAGUAAUCUGUAUGAUAUGGUGAAGUAAGCUGUAUGAUAUGGUGAUUUAACUGUGUGUUCUGAUAAAACUCCUUAGGUGUAUGGCAAACCCUUCUACCGCUAAAAUUAAAUAUUAAGAGUAGAGUCCUGUAAUGCAUUUUUCUUUUUUGUGAGAGUGGGAAAACAUUUUAUUUUUCUCAAUCAGGUGGGAAUUUGUAUUUUUUGGGGUUUUUUUUUGUGUACUAUUUUGCUUCUAUGUGUAGAGUAACAAGAAAGUUAGUGCAUUCUGUUUCAGGUUGAAAUUAUUUCAGAAGUUAAGUUGAUUUCAUUUGAAAAUUAUUGUGUUAUAAAGGGUAACUUUAAUGUAUUUAUCUGUGUAAUUGUAUAGAUAUUUAUAGGCCACUCUGCAGAAUAACUACAAUUUUUGCAUGCACUAUCUGUCAGUAGAAUCAAGGGCAGAUAACUGGGAUAUGUACCAGUAAGGUACUGGAAAGAUUAAAGUGAUGCAAUACAAUUCA